rnacentral:rRNA from 1 species
UACGUAGGUGGCAAGCGUUAUCCGGAAUUAUUGGGCGUAAAGAGGGAGCAGGCGGCAGCAAAGGUCUGUGGUGAAAGACUGAAGCUUAACUUCAGUAAGCCAUAGAAACCGGGCAGCUAGAGUGCAGGAGAGGAUCGUGGAAUUCCAUGUGUAGCGGUGAAAUGCGUAGGUAUAUGGAGGAACACCAGUGGCGAAGGCGACGAUCUGGCCUGCAACUGACGCUCAGUCCCGAAAGCGUGGGGAGCAAAUAGG